GUUUUCUCCUAGUGCUUUGGCCUCCUGGGAGUGAAUGGUGCCGGCAAAACAACCACAUUCAAGAUGCUCACUGGGGACACCACAGUGACCUCAGGGGUUGCCACCGUAGCAGGCAAGAGUAUUUUAACCAAUAUUUCUGAAGUCCAUCAAAAUAUGGGCUACUGUCCUCAGUUUGAUGCAAUCGAUGAGCUGCUCACAGGACGAGAACAUCUUUACCUUUAUGCCCGGCUUCGAGGUGUACCAGCAGAAGAAAUCGAAAAGGUGAAAAAUGUUUUGUUGUGGCCAUAGGAGUCUGGUUAAUUACAAGCCUGUUUCAUGAGAGUGC
rnacentral:sRNA from 1 species